rnacentral:rRNA from 1 species
UAUUAGAGCGGCGUAAGGGCGAGGAAUCCAUUUCUACGUACCCCAAGGUCGAGGAUAGCUCAGGGAAACUUGAGGUAAUACUCGAUGUGGUGCUUCGGCAUCAAAGGCUUGCUGCCUUGGGAGCGGGGAAUGACCUAUCAGGUUGUUGGUGAGGUAACGGCUCACCAAGCCAUAGACGGGUAGCGGGUGUGAGAGCACGACCCGCCGCAUCGGGACUGAGACACUGCCCGGACUCCUACGGGAGGCUGCAGUAACGAAUCUUCCGCAAUGCACGAAAGUGUGACGGGGCAAUACCGCGUGUGGGAUGAAGCCCUUCGGGGUGUAAACCACUGUCAGGGUUCAGGAAAAAAAUGACCAGACCCAAAGGAAGGGCCGGCUAACUCUGUGCCAGCAGCCGCGGUAAUACAGAGGGCCCGAGCGUUAAUCGGAAUCACUGGGCUUAAAGCGUACGCAGGCGGACAUGUAGGCAUUUUGUGAAAUCCCUCGGCUCAACCGAGGAAUUGCAGAGUGAACCACAUGUCUUGAGGCGAGUAGAGGCGGUCGGAACGAUAGGUGGAGCGGUGAAAUGCGUAGAUAUCUAUCGGAACGCCAAAGGUGAAGACAGGCCGCUGGGCUCGUCCUGACGCUGAGGUACGAAAGCGUGGGUAGCGAACGGGAUUAGAUACCCCGGUAGUCCACGCCGUAAACGAUGCACACUA